rnacentral:rRNA from 1 species
UGUUUAUACCACUCCAGAUUUGACCUAUCUUGUUUAAUUUUAGAAGCUAAGCAAUGUUAGACUUGGGUAGUAGUUGGAUGGGAUAUCACCUGGGAAUACUGCUUCUUUAAAUGG